UUCAACUGUGAUGAGCCUACAGACCUGUAAUGAUUUUGCGGGUAUGAUCGCAAUCAUUAAUUGAACAUCUAAGGGACUGAGUUCUC
rfam:Glycine max cultivar Williams 82 chromosome 14, whole genome shotgun sequence.